UGUUUAACCUCGACAUAUUGGUCUAAAAUGUAGACAAGAUCGAGAUUCUAAAUGUAUGAAAAACCGAAUUACUUCCAACCGCUUUAAGGUUUUUUAUCCUUACAAUGUAAAAAAUUAAUUUCUGUGGUAAUACAAUAAGAAUAAUUGCAUACUUCGUGAAAUAUAUACCUAGAUUUUUAUACAUACUCCGGAAUUACAAAGGUCGAAUAGGUAUCGAAUUUGUUUUAAACUUCAAAGUGUGGUUAGUAGGCUAGUAGGCUUGAGGCGCAUAAUGAAAACAAAGUCCAAACGGUUUUAGUCCUAAUGCAUAUAUAUUAUAUUACACCCGUUGGCAUAAAUUCUUAAUACAAUUAUUAUAUUAUGUUCUACUUAACACUAAAUCACAGAAUAAUAUCCUUGAGAUGUUUUGUUAUAUAUUAUGAACUUCAAUAGCAAGGACCAAAUGAAUAGUUUGAAUUUAAAUAUCACAUAUAGCUUGGUAGGUAGGCAUAGAUAUACGCACAUUUUGUACCUACAAGCUAUAGGUCUAGAAGGCCAGAAGUAUAAAUAGAUUCGUCGAUAGAAACAAAAAUACAUAAUGGUCAACUUGUAUUUUGGUAUUUUGGUCAAAGUACAUUCGAUCACAUAUUUUAAGAAUGAAUCUUAAAAAUGUGUAAAAUCGUUUGGUAUUGUUAUUACUAAUACCUUUUUUAAAUUAAAUAUUUAAUUAUUUACUUUUAGAUUCAUAAGCAAAGACAUCUAUAUGCAUUAGUCUCACUAUGAUGAAUGACCCAAACCACUACUUAUUGGGAAGAAAAGGGAAUAUAAAGCUUAAGACCGAUACGAAAAGAAGAAGAUUAUGCCAAUGUGGUUACAUAAUUGUUCUACGGUGUUAAGGUCGUUAAGGAUGCCGAACUUAAGAAUUAUUUAACAAUAGAGACAAAAAAAAUAAUUUGAUAAUUCAAUUAGAUUUGUGAUGUAUUGUGAACCUGUUUCAGGUUAUUGGAAACAUCAAUCAAUGGUCAAUCGCGGUAAAGAAGUGGGUACUUACUAUAAUUACAACAUAAACUAUUUGAUUGUUAUACUGUUGUUUAUAACUAAUCUUUUUUUAACAUGUUUUAAAAUUUAGUACAG